rnacentral:rRNA from 1 species
GUCUACGGCUGUGCCACCCUGAACAAGCCCGAUGUCUGUUCUUGGAAGCUAAGCAGAGUCAGGCCUGGUUAGUACUUGGAUGGGAGACUACCUGGGAAGACCAGGUGCUGUAGGCA